AUAUGGUGCAGGUGCGAGGAGGUGGAGAACAGUGUAGGUUGGUCCGUCCUCGAGAUAACACGAGAAAAUCGCCACUGCAAGAAAGAUGUUUUCCUUGGCCCAACUUCUAGUGACUUUGUCUCUGGUCUUCGCAUCGAGCAAUGCUGCUUCGCCGCCACUACCGUCAGUACUUGGUAGGAACAACCUUGUAGGUGGUUCUCCGGCAGGAAACCUGUACGCCGCCCCCGCCGUCGGGCCGGUCACCAUCACGGUCACC